rnacentral:lncRNA from 1 species
CCAGAGGCACAUGUGACCCUUCACCCCAGACCUGAAGGUGAUGUCACCCUGAGGUGCUGGGCCCUGGGCUUCUACCCUGCUGACAUCACCCUGACCUGGCAGUUGAAUGGGGAGGACCUGACCCAGGACAUGGAGCUUGUGGAGACCAGGCCUGCAGGGGAUGGAACCUUUCAGAAGUGGGCAUCUGUGGUGGUGCCUCUUGGGAAGGAGCAGAAUUACACAUGCCGUGUGGAGCAUGAGGGGCUGCCUGAGCCACUUUCCCAGAGAUGGGAGCCUUCUCCAUCGACCAACUCCAACAUGGAAACCACUGUCAUUUAUGUCGUCCUUGGAGCCAUCAUUGGAACUCUGGCCAUCAUUGGAAUUGUAGUGGCUGUUGUGAGGAAGAGGAGGAGAAACACAGGUAGGAAAGGGCAGGGUCUGUUUCCCCUCAGCUCCCUUUAGAAGAGCGCUCUGCUCAUUAAUGGGAAGCACAGCCACACCCCUCAUUGCUGCUGUCUCCAACUGGGUCCUCUGUCAGUUCUG